rnacentral:lncRNA from 1 species
GAGAGGAUAUUAAAGCCAGCAGAGGCAGAGAGCUGGGAGAGAGUAGUAGUCGGAGAGAGAGCCGUAGGACUGGGGAGUAAGCAGAAGUAGGGUCCAAGAGACAGAAGUGUAGGGUCAGAGAUGACAGUAGAUACAGGAAAAAAGACUGAGUAGGGUAGAUCUAGUCCCUAAGUGUCAUGCUGUAAAGCCCAUCAACACAGCAGCAGGCCUUUUCUUCCCACCCAGCCUGCAGCUGGGCUAAGAUACUGCUCCUUAAUCAACCCCCGGGGCUGCCAAAAUGGCGACUCCUAUCAAAAUGGUGGCACCAGGACAGCCUCCUCAGCCUGCAGCUAUCACUGGAGCUGUCCACAGUGGCAACACCAUCUUUUCUGCCUCAGCCCCACAGCCUUGGUGAAACACCUCUGCAGGAGCUGUCCCGUGGGAGCUGUCCUUGAUGGCAGCCCCUCCUCUCCUGCCUUCCCCAGCAGUUCCUCAGAGACAGUGUCUAGCCAGUUGCAGCUUGAAGGGCUUCCCACCCUAACCCAUGGGCCCCAUGCAGGGGGAUGGAAAAAAAAAAGCCACCAAUCCCUGAGCAGGAAACCCCACCAAUCCUGAGCUUCUCACAAGCUCCGCCCCCUAAGAAAUCUUAUAAAAGCCCGGUCUUUUGUUCAAUUCUCUGCUGUCCGCUCCUAGGAGCAGAGGGCAUCCACCCCUAGAUUCAUCCCUCCACACCCUGGACUGUCCAAUAAAUCUCUUUGAUGAGCUUUUCUGCCUGGUGUGACUCUCACCGCAAGAAGCCGCGAAGCAAUGAAGGGAAGAAGAGAAGGAGGAGCAGGGCUAAGGCCCCUGAGCUACUGAGCUCGGCUAGGGAUGCCCUCCCCUGGGAGCUGCACCGUCUCUGCUGAGGCGGCUUCCUCUCAAGGCUGCGUGGUUCCUGGGCUCCCCUGUCUCAGGAUGCCUUUCCACUGGGACACUGUCCUCCCUUGGAGCUGUGUGGUUUCUGGGCUUCUGAGUCCCAGGACAUCCUCACAUGCCAGCAGAAACCCUUAUACUAGUGAAGAGACCGAACAGAGGGGAAAGCGGGCACAGGUGAAAGCGAACUGGACAAGCAAACUGAGAAGAGAAGACAGUGGGUGGCAACUGAGCCAGCAAGAGCUGAGCUGAGCCAGAGAAGACAUUGUUAGGAGACAGAUAAAAUAAGAACCCACAAGCAAAGUAGCUAAGAGAAAAAAAACUAAAGAACGAAAGCUACAGGCCUCAAGCUAAUACAGGAGACUAAAAAGCCUUUGCUUUGUAAGGUGACCUGUGGGCGCUGGCUGGGUUCAUCUUACUGUAUUUAUACUCCACAAGUCAGAACUAUGAAGCACAAAAUGAUGUUGUCCCUAGGAGCUGGAAGCCUGGACUUACAGAGGCAUCCAGAGCAGGCUAACGCAGGCUAACAGGGGAAGGACUCCAGAGAACAUUUCUAAUUUCUCCUAAACUUUCUGCUGCGAGCUUAAAAACUCAGGCUUGGUGUGCUCAGCACUUGCUCUCCUCUGACCCGAGGGAGAAGCUGGGACUGGGAAAGAGACUCCAAAUAAUGCUUUUGGAAUUCUUCCCAGACCCUUGCAUUUGAGGUGGGCCUUUCGGGACCUGGAGGUGUAAUACCAGGGAUCUAACAGCUGCGGCCUCUCUCCACUGCUUGGCAACUUCUACAGCCUUUUCUGGAUCAAACAGCCUUGCAGCAGGCCUGGUGUGCAGGGCACAUCGCGCCAUCUGAACCACAGAUGGUUUCCGGGGAGCAGAGCCAUGUGCUCGCACAUGCAGAGCGGUGCCAGACCUGUGCUUGGAGCUCCUGUAAUGCACAUUGCCAAGGCCAUGGCAUGUGGCAGCAUGGGUGUGCGGGGUUGGGUGGAUGAUACACAGAGUCAGGGGAAUGCUUGGCCAGACUAGGUUUUAAAUUCCCAGAGGGUUUGGAAGAUUUUAUUUCCCAUCCAUAGUCCAUACGAAUAAUGCCAUCAGCAAGGGUAAUAGUAACAACUCUAACCAUUCAUGCUUACCAUCUAAAUCCCCAAACAUCAUCCUCAGAGGUGAGAUGAGACUGCGAUAAUAGCACAUUGCAGGCAAGGUUUGAGGCCCAGAGCUGCGAUGCUACUUGCUGACAGUCAUCCAAGAUAGAGAAUGGAACAGCAGAGAGGAGAGUUGACCCAAAGUCAACGUCUUUAACCACCCCGGCAGCCGGGCAAACCUGAAAGUUGUACUACAGUGUGUCCCUCAAAUCCGGCACGCAGAGCUGGGCCUCUGCUUGGAGGUUUACAUCUUCUCUGAUAGAUUAAUUCCCCAGCUCUUCAAGGCUGCUGGGAUAGCCACAGACUGGGUGGCCCAAACUAACAGAAAUGUUUUCUCUCACAGUCUUAAAUCAGAGUACUAGAAAAGACCCUCUGUCUCAAUGUGCACAUGUGUUCAUGCCUGACCAUUUGUCUCUAUCUCUCUGUCUCUGCCUCACUUUCUGUCUCUGUGUCUCUGUCUCUGUCUCUCUCUUUCUCUGUCUUUCCGUGAAUAUGUCUCUCUGUGUGUCUCUGUCUGCGACCUCUCUCUUUGUUCUAGAAGUCCCUUCCUCUUCCUUAAGCUUCCAGAGGUGGUUGGCAGUCAGCCUUUGGUUUUUCUGACGUCUAGAAGCAUCUCUUCAGUUUCUGCCUCCCCUGUGGGAGCUUGCUUUCCUCCCCUCUUAAGUAAAGCAGUUAUUAAGUUUGGAGACCUCUACGUCAGGGACAGACAUACAUCCUCUAUUCAGGGACAGAUUCACCAUCUUCUCAAAAGCCCCUGUCUGAGCUCAUUUCAUAUGGAAAAACUCGUAUUUCCAAAUGAGGUGUUGACUGUGGGGUUUCAGGUGGGCAUGAUAGCAGGGGACAGCACAGUUCAAGUCAGUGUAUGUGAAGAAAAGAAUGAGGGCGCUCCACGUGCAGAGACGUCUAGACGUAGACUCAUCUACUGUCACUCUUGUCCGGAGGUUAGCUUUCCAGUUGGCUUGCCCUGCCUUCCCGGAACUCUUCUAGAAUUUUCGUCCUCUCACAGUGGUUACAACUCCUGCACUCCAUCAGAUCACCUGUAGGGGUUGCUUUUGAGGAGAUUACACUCCUGGCAGCUGGCAGUGUCCUUGCUCUUCGCCUCUCUGGGCAUCAUGCACAGUCUGCACACAGCUCUCAGGAUGGACCUUCUAAAGCAUGUGUCAUUUUCCAGAUGGAAAGUUCCUCUCAAAUGCUUCUCUCCCAAGAGGCCGACAUGGCAUUCAGCCUCCUUAACAAGGGGCAUAACGCUGGGCCUCUGGGCGUCCACUCGACAGUCAGCCCUGGCCUCUUCUGUAUCAGGGAUAUGCACUUGUCGCUUCCUAUUUAUAAAUUAGCCCAGAAGUGGGGGUAAUUAGGUGAACUGAAGGGCAAGAAUGAGUCUGUGGGAACGAAAGAGAGGAAAGAGUAGGAAAAAAAAUCUAAACGUAUUUGGGUUAAUAAAGUUUUUGAUUAAUUUG